GUCGAACGCUGGCGGCGUGCCUAAUACAUGCAAGUUGAGCGAUGAAGAUUGGUGCUUGCACCAAUUUGAAGAGCAGCGAACGGGUGAGUAACGCGUGGGGAAUCUGCCUUUGAGCGGGGGACAACAUUUGGAAACGAAUGCUAAUACCGCAUAACAACUUUAAACAUAAGUUUUAAGUUUGAAAGAUGCAAUUGCAUCACUCAAAGAUGAUCCCGCGUUGUAUUAGCUAGUUGGUGAGGUAAAGGCUCACCAAGGCGAUGAUACAUAGCCGACCUGAGAGGGUGAUCGGCCACAUUGGGACUGAGACACGGCCCAAACUCCUACGGGAGGCAGCAGUAGGGAAUCUUCGGCAAUGGACGAAAGUCUGACCGAGCAACGCCGCGUGAGUGAAGAAGGUUGUCGGAUCGUAAAACUCUGUUGGUAGAGAAGAACGUUGGUGAGAGUGGAAAGCUCAUCAAGUGACGGUAACUACCCAGAAAGGGACGGCUAACUACGUG
rnacentral:rRNA from 1 species